GGCAGACUGAUUAUGAGGCUGCUGCAAUAUCAGCUUUAAGAUUUGUUUUCCCUACAAUGGUCAUUAAAGGCUGUUUCUUUCAUUUUUCCCAAGCAAUAUGGCGAAAAUGUCAGGGAUUAGGGUUAACAAAAGAAUAUAGAGACAAUACCACUGUCCACAAAGUAGUCAGACGUAUGACUACUUUACCCUUUUGCCGGGAGGAAGAUAUUUCAGAAGUUAGGUCAUCAUGUCUUGCCAUGUCGCUUGAAAAUCCUUUGCUAAUACAAUUUAUGCAAUAUAUGGAUUUGACAUGGCUUUCCAUUAACGCUUUAUUUCCCCAUAGCCUAUGGACAAGUUAAUGGUCCUAGGACAAACAACCAUCUAGAGGGCUAUCAUCAUAGCUUGAAGCGCAAAACACACUGCACGCAUCCUAAUAUUUAUUUUUUAAUAAAUAUUUUAAAAAGUCACCAACACUCGAGU